CCUACGGGAGGCUGCAGUGAGGAAUAUUGGUCAAUGGGCGGGAGCCUGAACCAGCCAAGUCGCGUGAGGGAAGACGGCCCUACGGGUUGUAAACCUCUUUUGUCGGGGGGCAAAGCGAGUCACGUGUGACUCAUUGAGAGUACCCGAAGAAAAAGCAUCGGCUAACUCCGUGCCAGCAGCCGCGGUAAUACGGAGGAUGCGAGCGUUAUCCGGAUUUAUUGGGUUUAAAGGGUGCGCAGGCGGAGGUGCAAGUCAGCGGUCAAAUUGCGGGGCUCAACCCCGUACUGCCGUUGAAACUGCAUCCCUUGAGUGCGCGAGAAGUAUGCGGAAUGCGUGGUGUAGCGGUGAAAUGCAUAGAUAUCACGCAGAACUCCGAUUGCGAAGGCAGCAUACCGGCGCGCAACUGACGCUCAUGCACGAAAGCGUGGGUAUCGAACAGGAUUAGAUAUCCCAGUAGUC
rnacentral:rRNA from 1 species